rnacentral:rRNA from 1 species
AUACGAAGGGGGCUAGCGUUGUUCGGAAUUACUGGGCGUAAAGCGCACGUAGGCGGAUUUUUAAGUCAGGUGUGAAAUCCCGGGGCUCAACCUCGGAACUGCAUUUGAAACUGGAAGUCUUGAGACCAGGAGAGGUUAGCGGAAUACCGAGUGUAGAGGUGAAAUUCGUAGAUAUUCGGUGGAACACCAGUGGCGAAGGCGGCUAACUGGACUGGUACUGACGCUGAGGUGCGAAAGUGUGGGGAGC